rnacentral:rRNA from 1 species
CACGUAGGGCGCAAGCGUUGUCCGGAAUUAUUGGGCGUAAAGAGCUCGUAGGCGGUCUGUUGCGUCCGCUGUGAAAACUCGGGGCUUAACCCCGAGCCUGCAGUGGAUACGGGCAGACUAGAGGUAGGUAGGGGAGAAUGGAAUUCCUGGUGUAGCGGUGAAGUGCGUAGAUAUCAGGAGGAACACCGGCGGUGUAGACGGCUUUCUGGACCGUAGCUGACGCUGAGACACGAAAGCGUGGGUAGCAAACAGG